CGACCGCUGGCGGCGUGCUUCACACAUGCAAGUCGACCGGCAAGGCCCUGCUUUUGUGGGGUGCUCGAGUGGCGAACGGGUGAGUAACACGUGAGUAACCUGCCCUUGACUUUGGGAUAACUUCAGGAAACUGGGGCUAAUACCGGAUAGGAGCUCCUGCUGCAUGGUGGGGGUUGGAAAGUUUCGGCGGUUGGGGAUGGACUCGCGGCUUAUCAGCUUGUUGGUGGGGUAGUGGCUUACCAAGGCUUUGACGGGUAGCCGGCCUGAGAGGGUGACCGGCCACAUUGGGACUGAGAUACGGCCCAGACUCCUACGGGAGGCAGCAGUGGGGAAUAUUGCACAAUGGGCGGAAGCCUGAUGCAGCAACGCCGCGUGCGGGAUGACGGCCUUCGGGUUGUAAACCGCUUUCGCCUGUGACGAAGCGUGAGUGACGGUAAUGGGUAAAGAAGCACCGGCUAACUACGUG
rnacentral:rRNA from 1 species